UACAGAGGUCCCAAGCGUUGUUCGGAUUCAUUGGGCGUAAAGGGUGCGUAGGCGGCGCGGUAAGUCGGGUGUGAAAUCUCGGAGCUUAACUCCGAAACUGCAUUCGAUACUGCCGUGCUUGAGGACUGGAGAGGAGACUGGAAUUUACGGUGUAGCGGUGAAAUGCGUAGAUAUGACAUAGAACACCAAUUGCGAAGGCAGCUGGCUACAGGGAUAUUGACACUGAGGCACGAAAGCGUGGGGAUCAAACAGG
rnacentral:rRNA from 1 species